UACAGAGGGUGCGAGCGUUAAUCGGAGUUACUGGGCGUAAAGGGCACGUAGGCGGUUAUGUAAGUCAGUUGUGAAAUCCCCGGGCUUAACCUGGGAACUGCAAUUGAAACUGUGUGACUAGAGUCGAAGAGAGGGAAGCGGAAUUUCCGGUGUUGCGGUGAAAUGCGUAGAUAUCGGAAGGAACACCCGUGGCGAAGGCGGCUUCCUGGCUUCAGACUGACGCUGAGGUGCGAAAGCGUGGGUAGCGAACAGG
rnacentral:rRNA from 1 species